rnacentral:lncRNA from 1 species
GCCCCCUUGUCUCCCCUGGCUCUCACAUACUCUUUCCAGCUGCCUCCCAAGCCAGCCCUACAGUCUGAUGAACAUUCUAGAGUAUGUGGACACAGAUGGACGCUCUGGCCACAGAGACCUGCCUGGGAUGGGAUCUAAGGGGACAUUACUACAUCUGCUGAGGGGGUCAUACCUUUGCCGACUGAAAAGUCACUGGUCAGUUCCUACACCCCAGGACUUCUGUGGCCCAGCUCUGCAUAUUAUCAGCGUAGGAUACUAACUAGCAGUGGCACCUAGGUGCUUGCUUGGUGGAUGAGCUUCAGAGUUCAGCUUGUUGACCUGGGACUCGGCGAUGUCCGCCCUCUCCUCCGCCUCAUCCAGCUCGUGCUGCACCUUGCGGAACUUGGACAGCCUCCAGCUCAUUCUCCAGCUCCCGGACCCGGGCCUCCAGCUUCUGCAGCUGCUUCUUGCCGCCCUUGAGGGCGAUCUGCUCUGCCUCGUCCAGACGGUGCUGCAAGUCCUUGAUGGUCUGCUCCAUGUUCUUCUUCAUGCGCUCCAGGUCGUCAUUGGCACGGACAGCAUCAUCCAGCUGGAUUUGAGUGUCCUGAGGAUCAGAAAAAUGAGUGGCCUCAUUGCGGCUGCGUGUCUCCGCAUCCAGGGAGGUCUGCAGGGAGUCCACCAUCCGCAGGUGGUUGCGCUUGGCCUGCUCCAUCUCCUCAUCCUUCUCUGCCAGCUUCCUUUCAAUCUCUGCCUUGAUCUGGUUGAACUCUAGCUGGGCGCGGAGGAUCUUGCCCUCCUCGUGCUCCAGGGAGGCCUGGAAAGGAUAUAGAUUUUGCAGGCAUAUAGUCAGAGACCAGGGUGGAAGCAAGGGUGUGUCUAAAAACCAUGGCACAGAGAGCAUUUGGGGAUGGUAUACAUGACUCAGUAGGAGAUGCAGUGGAAGGAAAUGAGAAAGAGUGUGCACAAGAGAAAUGAAAGCAAGCUGAAGAGAAGGGGAUGCAGACUCCCAGGGGGGCGGAGGGAGUCAGCUUUGAAGACAAAGAGGAAAAUGAAAAGUGUUGCCAAGGAAACAGAGGCAAUGAAGCAGAGAGUAAAGGAACAAAAAAAAAAAAACCACCACACACAGGCAGGCAGAGGUGGAAAGUGGAAUGAGCUGAAAUAGGAGUCUUUCUAAGGUACAGUAAAUAAAAUGUUUGUGUGAAGGAACUUG